UACGGGGGGGGCAAGCGUUGUUCGGAAUUACUGGGCGUAAAGGGUUCGUAGGUGGCCAACUAAGUCAGACGUGAAAUCCCUCAGCUUAACUGGGGAACUGCGUCUGAGACUGGAUGGCUUGAGUGCAGGAGAGGAACGCGGAAUUCCAGGUGUAGCGGUGAAAUGCGUAGAUAUCUGGAGGAACACCGGUGGCGAAGGCGGAUCUCUGGGCCUUACCUGACGCUCAGGCGCGAAAGCUAGGGGAGCGAACUGG
rnacentral:rRNA from 1 species